GGGGGGGGGGAUACGAGCUAAAACUUAAAGAGAAAGGAGGGGGGGAUACGAGCUAAACCUUAAAGAGAAAGGGGGGGGAGAUGAGUAUGAAAAAAAAAUUACUGUAAGUUAAUAGUGUGAAAGUGUAGAGCAUGUACAGCUGCGAAAUUGCGUAUAGCAUCCAUUACUGAACAAGUUUUCACCUGCUAAAGUAAUCCUAUCAAAGAAGAUCUCCGUGACAUGACUCCGUGAUCUGACUCCAU